UGGGGAAUAUUGGACAAUGGGGGAAACCCUGAUCCAGCGAUGCCGCGUGAGUGAAGAAGGCCUUCGGGUCGUAAAGCUCUUUAGGUUGGGAAGAAGGGUGUGCGUGGAAUAUACGCAUACUUUGACGGUACCGACAGAAUAAGCACCGGCAAAUUCUGUGCCAGCAGCCGCGGUAAUACAGAAGGUGCGAGCGUUAAUCGGAUUUACUGGGCGUAAAGGGCACGUAGGCGGUAGGAUGUGUGUGAUGUGAAAGCCCCGGGCUCAACCUGGGAAGUGCAUCGCAAACUAUCUAACUAGAGUAGAUGAGAGGGUGGCGGAAUUUCCAGUGUAGCGGUGAAAUGCGUAGAGAUUGGAAGGAACGUCAAUGGCGAAGGCAGCCACCUGGCAUCAUACUGACGCU
rnacentral:rRNA from 1 species